rnacentral:rRNA from 1 species
GAUGAACGCUAGCGGCAGGCUUAACACAUGCCAGUCGAGGGGCAGCGCGGGAUAGCAAUAUCCUGGCGGCGACCGGCGGAAGGGUGCGUAACGCGUGAGCGACAUGCCCGUUGCCCGGGGACAACCGGUGGAAACGCCGACUAAUCCCCGAUGGGAUAUUGUGCCGCAUGGCACGAUAUUGAAAGUUACGGCGGCGACGGAUUGGCUCGCGUCCGAUUAGCUUGUUGGCGGGGUAACGGCCCACCAAGGCUGCGAUCGGUAGGGGUUCUGAGAGGAAGGCCCCCCACAAUGGGACUGAGACACGGCCCAUACUCCUACGGGAGGCAGCAGUGAGGAAUAUUGGUCAAUGGGCGGAAGCCUGAACCAGCCAUGCCGCGUGCGGGAAGGAGGCCCUAUGGGCUGUGAACCGCUUUUGCCUGGGGGCAAUAAGGGCGUCGCGCACGUCCGAUGAGAGUACCAGGCGAAUAAGCAUCGGCUAACUCCGUG